AUGAAACCUGACCCUGCUUUUGCUACUUCACCUAUCUGUGUUACUGAUAAGGAUUAUGAAUUCUCUGUUGAUCCUGAUAUGAUUACUUUGGUUGAAUCUGAUCCUUUUCAUGGCUAUGAAUCUGAAACUGUUGUGGCACAUCUUACUAAAUUAAAUGAUAUAGCCACCCUGUUCACUAAUGAUGAGAAAUCUUGCUACCUAUAUAUCCUUAAAAUAUUUCCGUUCUCAUUAAAGGGUGAUGCUAAGAUAUGGUUUAAUUCUCUUGAUCCUGGUUGUGUGCGUAGUCCCCAAGAUAUGAUUUAUUACUUCUCUGCUAAAUAUUUCCCUGCUCAUAAGAAACAAGCUGCUUUGAGGGAAAUAUACAAUUUUGUGCAAAUUGAAGAAGAGAGUCUCCCACGAGCUUGGGGAAGGCUUCUCAAGUUACUUAAUGCUUUGCCUGAUCAUCCUCUUAAGAAAAAUGAAAUACUUGAUAUCUUUUAUAAUGGACUAACCGAUGCUUCCAGAGAUUACCUGGAUAGUUGUGUUGGUUCUGUUUCAGGGAAAGAACACCGGAUGAAGCUGAAAUUCUAUUGA
rnacentral:rRNA from 1 species